rnacentral:tRNA from 1 species
GGCUGUAUAGCUCAGUGGUAAGCACACACUUAGCGUGUGAAGUCCUGGGUUCAAUUCCCAAUACCACCA